rnacentral:tRNA from 1 species
GGGCCUAUAGCUCAGUUGGUUAGAGCGCACGCCUGAUAAGCGUGAGGUCGGUGGUUCAAGUCCACUUGGGCCCA